UUUUUCUUUAUAGAAAAAUAUAUUUUGCAAAGAAAAACCACAAUUGUAAUUUCAUUGUAAGCAAAGAAAUUUUUAGAUGGUGUUCAAGAGCUUAAAACAACAAAAUUCUUUAAUUUCAUAAAGGAAACCUUACAGUUGACACCUUUGGUCAAAUCUGAGUAAAAUCAUGCUACAAACACUCGUAAAAUUUCUAAUAGAAACCCUUUUUCACUGUUUCCUAAUAUCUAUUAGAAGUUCAGAAAGCAAAAGACUGAUUACUUCCUGAAAAAUGACUAACUAAAUAUGUUUUUUUUAAAAAAUAUUGUCCAUCUAUCCAACUGAUUAUCAACUUCCAAUCAAGCACCAGCAGAUCAAACAGUGGACAACAGAUCAAAUGUCAGGCGUGUAAAGCAGGGAUUUCUCAGGCUAAACCAUUCCUGAAUAUUAAAUCGGAAUAUGUAUUUUACCCUAUUUGCAAAAGUCAAACGUAUCAGGUUCACAUACAUAAAUUGACGUGAGGAGCAUCGCUGCGAUAUUCCACACCUUGCUAUCUAUUUUAAAUUAAAUCAUGGCCACCAGCACUAAUUGGACCUAUAGGGACAAAUAAUUUGAAGUUCUGAAAAAUAAGUGGUAUCGCUGUUGGUUUUGUUGCCUUUCAGCUUUUGAAAUUGACUCAGAAGAAAAUGUCUGAAUCAAUAUGAGAUGAGGGAUUUUAAAAAAUCAGUGCAGGCGAACCGCAUGACUUAAUCAAACUAAGAGAAACAUUUCUGAAUAUGGAAUAUGACCGAGACCCCCGGUGUCCUGCACGAACAUGGAAAAGUAUAGAAGAUACUAAAUUAAUAUGUAACAUGUAAGGCUCCCUAUUAUCAUGAACUACUUAGAGUCAAGUCUAUCAGGAAAAAAUUAAGAGGUUUGACAUAUUGCACAACCCGUUUACAGAGCCUUAAAAAUGGAAGGUGCCCUUUUGUCCAUCAGUUGGCUUCAACUCACAGCAGCAAUGGAUGUCAUGGGAAUGUGGAACUGUAAUUCUUCUAAACUGACAUGGAGACAGGUGAGCAUUUAUAAUAUAUGCAGAAAAUUUACAACAGUUUGGGUUUGUUGGUCAUGCUUUCCAGUGCGACUGGAUGUAUAAAAGCUAGUUAUUAGCUAAGUUUUUGUUUGUUUUUCAACCAAAUUUCAUGGUUUUAUUGAAUUUCUGUGCACCAGCUCUGCUCUUUGUUUCUGCAGAUCAAUCAGAGUGUGUCCACAACAGAGGAGGGAGACUUAAUUGAGUUUGGAGUGUUUAUAUGGGAGAAGGCCAAGUUUUCCAUUUUGGGGUUGGAGGUAAGAAAUGUUUUCCCUGCUACACGCUUUAGUUGAGCUGGCUAUUGUGUCAGCUCAAAAUGCAGUAUGUUUAUUUAAACUCCUUCGUUUUUUCCUCCCCUUCAAGAUGAAAAUGUGACACAGAAAGCAUGCCGCAGCUUCCUCCAGAUGAUGAUUCCAAAGUCGAGCAACGACAGCAUUUUGAAGAAGACCAGAAUUCGCACGCAGCCCAUUACCGAGAUCAAAGUGCCUCAAGAAACCCAAAUCAGGGUCGUCAACAACAACAAACACCGAGACAAUAAGCUGUCACUGUCAGAGUUUCCUGCACCAGGAGUUGAAAUAUGACCUGGUGAAUUUCAACACUGAGCAUUUCGCCACUUUUGUUCAAUACAGCCACGCUGUGUUCAACCAGAUCUCCUUUAAGAAGAAGAAUCAAGCCCACCAGGAUACGACUCAGAAUCUGGAAAUGAUAAUGCAGCAACGGGUGGAGACAGAAACUUGAGCCCUUCUGUGUGGCUUCCUGCUUUUCCUAAUGAGCAAAAUAAAACUCCUCUGCUGCUACUUUGUCUGAGAAUGCUUUAUUUAAUAACUUGAGGCACAAUCCGAUUUAUCCAUGGCUUUAAGAAUGCUUCUGUGCCUCCAUGCUCACCCACAAAAUCCUUAGCGAACUCUAUUAAAGGCCAAAAACUUACCAACAAAGCAAGCUCCAUAAGACUCAGCAAACUAUGUGUCCUCUUGUUUAUUAAGACUUCAGGAAUGUCAAUAAGAGCAUUUCUAUACAGUAGGAAGGCUGAAGAGGGCAGCGCACAGACACAAUGACCUCCCGCUAUUCUCCUCGUUGAUAAUGACCCAGACACAGGCACAGGCACACUGCCCAUCAGCCAGACCUCUAAUAAAGCCAAACACUCUCUAUCAUCUACUAAUAACCUCCACGCAGUAGUAAGAGUCAUGGACAGGCCGGCGUCUUCUGAAUACAUGCCGGGGAACAAAGCUCCGAGCAGAAGUAGUGGAACGCAUCCUGCUUAUCGAUCGGCGACUGUGCGCUGCCCGA